rnacentral:rRNA from 1 species
AGAGCGAACGCUGGCGGCAGGCCUAACACACGCAAGUCGAACGGACCCUUCGGGGUUAGUGGCGGGCGGGUGAGUAACACGUGGGAACGUGCCUUUUGGUUCGGAAUAGCUCCUGGAAACGGGUGGUAAUGCCGAAUGUGCCCUUCGGGGGAAAGAUUUAUCGCCAUUAGAGCGGCCCGCGUCUGAUUAGCUAGUUGGUGAGGUAAUGGCUCACCAAGGCACGAUCAGUAGCUGGUCUGAGAGGAUGACCAGCCACAUUGGGACUGAGACACGGCCCAAACUCCUACGGGAGGCAGCAGUGGGGAAUCUUGCGCAAUGGGCGAAAGCCUGACGCAGCCAUGCCGCGUGAAUGAUGAAGGUCUUAAGGAUUGUAAAAUUCUUUACACCGGGACGAUAAUGACGGUACCGAGAAGAAGACCCGGCUAACGUUCGUGCCAGCAGCCGC